rnacentral:rRNA from 1 species
UACGGAGGGUGCAAGCGUUGUCCGGAUUUAUUGGGUUUAAAGGGUGCGUAGGCGGCUAAUUAAGUCAGCGGUGAAAUUCCACAGCUCAACUGUGGAACUGCCAUUGAUACUGGUUGGCUUGAGUACAGAUGAGGUAGGCGGAAUUGACAGUGUAGCGGUGAAAUGCUUAGAUAUUGUCAAGAACACCUAUUGCGAAGGCAGCUUACUAAACUGUAACUGACGCUGAGGCACGAAAGCGUGGGGAGCGAACAGG